UACAGAGGGGGCAAGCGUUAUUCGGAAUUACUGGGCGUAAAGUGUGCGCAGGCGGCAGAGCAAGUCGAGUGUGAAAGCCCCGGGCUUAACUUGGGAAUUGCGCUCGAAACUACUUUGCUGGAGUGUGGCAGAGGAAGGUGGAAUUCCACGUGUAGCGGUGAAAUGCGUAGAGAUGUGGAGGAACACCAAUGGCGAAGGCAGCCUUCUGGGCCAACACUGACGCUCAUGCACGAAAGCGUGGGGAGCAAACAGG
rnacentral:rRNA from 1 species